UACGUAGGUGGCAAGCGUUAUCCGGAUUUACUGGGUGUAAAGGGCGUGUAGGCGGGAGUGCAAGUCAGAUGUGAAAACUAUGGGCUCAACCCAUAGCCUGCAUUUGAAACUGUACUUCUUGAGUGAUGGAGAGGCAGGCGGGAUUUCCUUUUUAGCGGGGAAAUUGGUAGAUAUAGGGGGGAACACCAGGGGGGAAGGCGGCCUGCUGGACAUUAACUGACGCUGAGGCGCGAAAGCGUGGGGAGCAAACAGGAUUAGAUACCCUGGUAGUCCACGCCGUAAACGAUGGAUACUAGGUGUGGGGGGUCUGACCCCCUCCGUGCCGCAGUUAACACAAUAAGUAUCCCACCUGGGGAGUACGAUCGCAAGGUUGAAACUCAAAUGAAUUGACGGGGG
rnacentral:rRNA from 1 species